rnacentral:ncRNA from 1 species
ACCUUAUCAAGAGAGACUGAGGGAAUGGCCCGAUGAUGUCUCAGCAACCUACCAAAGUUUGGUGUGGUGCUAAUUCCAACAGAAUUUUUAUAAAUUCUGAAAGAUGAGGG